AUGGUCUCCCAUCCAGGGACCGAUGAGGGUAGCUUCAGAAGUGAGCCAGCUGAAGGAUGCAAGGCGACACUGCUGGUUGAUAUUGACAUCGUAGCAGCAUCUUUCCAGAAUAUGAACCAAACAAACUGCGAGGAAGAUCUUUAACACUCCUGUCAACACAAAGCUGUUGACUUGGACCCCGAGAGCAGGGAAUCACUAGUGAAACUAGGCAUUUGCAGACAGAACCAUCACCCACUUCUUGGCAAUGUUGGAGAUGAAGGUGUGCUCUAAGAUAGUGGUUUCCCCUUUUUGGAAAGCAUGUCACGCUCUGAGGACAACCUACUGAAAAUGCCAGCCGUCAUGAGCAUUUUUUAGA